rnacentral:rRNA from 1 species
CCUACGGGAGGCAGCAGUGGGGAAUUUUGCGCAAUGGGGGAAACCCUGACGCAGCAACGCCGCGUGCGGGACGACGGCCUUCGGGUUGUAAACCGCUUUCAGCAGGGAAGAAAUUCGACGGUACCUGCAGAAGAAGCUCCGGCUAACUACGUGCCAGCAGCCGCGGUAAUACGUAGGGAGCGAGCGUUAUCCGGAUUCAUUGGGCGUAAAGAGCGCGUAGGCGGCCUCUCAAGCGGGAUCUCUAAUCCGAGGGCUCAACCCCCGGCCGGAUCCCGAACUGGGAGGCUCGAGUUCGGUAGAGGCAGGCGGAAUUCCCGGUGUAGCGGUGGAAUGCGCAGAUAUCGGGAAGAACACCGAUGGCGAAGGCAGCCUGCUGGGCCGCAACUGACGCUGAGGCGCGAAAGCUAGGGGAGCGAACAGGAUU